UAGGGAAUCUUCGGCAAUGGACGAAAGUCUGACCGAGCAACGCCGCGUGAGUGAAGAAGGUUUUCGGAUCGUAAAACUCUGUUGUUAGAGAAGAACAAGGACGUUAGUAACUGAACGUCCCCUGACGGUAUCUAACCAGAAAGCCACGGCUAACUACGUGCCAGCAGCCGCGGUAAUACGUAGGUGGCAAGCGUUGUCCGGAUCUAUUGGGCGUAAAGCGAGCGGAGGCGGUUUCUUAAGUCUGAUGUGAAAGCCCCCGGCACAACCGGGGAGGGUCAUUGGAAACUGGGAGACUUGAGUGCAGAAGAGGAGGGUGGAAUUCCGUGUGUAGCGGUGAAAUGCGUAGAUAUAUGGAGGAACACCAGUGGCGAAGGCGGCUCUCGGGUCGGUAACUGACGCUGAGGCUCGAAAGCGUGGGGAGCAAACAGG
rnacentral:rRNA from 1 species